CCCGGAAGGAAACUCGAGGGAACACCAAGUAAACACAACAACAACAGCAGCAGCAGCAGCUGAGCUCCUUUACACAUUUGAAGAGCCUCAAACACAUUAACAAUGACUGGACUAACUGAGGGUGUAAAAUAACUUGUAACAAGGGUUCUUGCUAUCAAAAAUAACAUGCAAACAGAAAAAAAAUUGCCUUUUUUUACAAUUGAUAUCAUUUUUAUUAUUGUUGUGCUUUUUCUGUAAUUUCUCAUUGAAGGUUCUCAGACAGAUGCAACCUGGCCUACUGGGGAUACCUUUUCAGAGGCAAAUGCAACUGCAGAUGCUGGAAAUCUGAAAUAAAAACAAGAAAGGCAAAACCAGAAACACAUCAACCUUGAUAUAGGGAUUUGGCAAGUGAGGGAGAACCAGCCACAUCAGCACGUAAAUAUGAAGCCUGUAACAAAUGGUCAUGCAUUGACCUCAGAUCAAACAAAUAUGCAGCAGUGCUUCUGCCCACAUUAUUACCAGCAGCACAACUUUUCCCUUGUCCAUUUAAUUUAAAUUUGUUCCAGAAAUCCUCUCGUGACAUAAUUCAGAGAAACCAUCCACCCCCACGCAAUCCGUGAGAAGAAUGGCAGAAUCCACCUCGAUGUGCAUGAAUCACACCACCAUUGAAUCCCCAGCCCCACCCCUUCUGCUAAAUAACCAAUUCAGCCCUCGGCAUUCUGUAGAAUCAUCGAUACAAACUGCUUUCUUAGUCAACACCAAGUCACCAAUAGGAAAACCAUCUCAGUCAAGCAUAAAAUAAGCAUUUCCUCUUCCAAUGAGUGUAAAUGACUACUUCCUUUGCAACUGAAAUGUGAUUGUUGGUUCCAUGGAUAGAAGUACUCCACUUUAUAUAAAUGUUACCAUCAAGUCCAUCACCUUCGUCAAUGGCAAUUAGGGAGAAAUUAAAGAGAGAUGGGAUUCAAGGGUGAAGACUCGUGGAAAACUUACAACUCUCCAAUCGAGGAUAAAAUCAAUUUUUACCAAAGGUAGACACAAAAUGCUGGAAUAAUCAGCGGGACAUGCAGCAUCUUUGGAGAGAAGGCAUGGGUGACGUUUCGGGUCGAGACUUUCCUUCAGACUGUUUACCACGCUUUACGAAGGAUAAAAAGAUCCUACAUCAUUUCAUAAUUAGCUCCAUCUAGAUAAAAAUUAGGCCUAUUUCUUCCUCUCUUCAAAAACCAUUCCCAAUUUAGCCCCAUUCCUUUAUUUCUGCAAGCAGUAAUUCAACAUUCAUUAAAGAAAAGUUAGUAUUUUCACUGAGCGUGCAAGAAAUUUAUGGCACUUGAAAUCAAUAAGUGGAAGUGACUUAAUACAACACCACCUUGAUAUGAAACCAACCCUUGCAAUAAUGUUCUUACAAGAGAAAAAACAUCUGGACAGUGAAAGGGCAUCAGAACAGGACCAAUAUUUCUAGAUAUAUAUAAUAGAGACACAAUUGCUUUAACAAAAUUCAUCGAAUGGCCAAUCUGCCCUGAGCCACAAUGCCUUUCAUUUCCACCCUGACUUCUACCCUUUGUUUCUUUGACUUCCUUUCCACUUUUUCCUGUCUGCAUUCCUCUACGUCUAUUUUCUCAUUGCUUUCUCGUAUUUGUCCCACCAUGAAUAAUACUAUUUCCUUCCACAUAUGCAGCCUGUCCUGGUGAGUUACUCCAGCUGUUUGUUUUUUACCCAAGAUUCCAGUAUCUGCAGUCUUUUGCGUCUCCAUAAAUAAAUGCAUAUUGACCAAUUUCCGAUUCCAUCGCUGUCCACUGUUGCUUACCCUUGUACAUCCAAUAUUAAUGAUGAAUUCUCAAUUCACCAUUCUGUUUGAAUUAUACUUCUGACCCUACAUCCUUCCCUUCACAAUUUUGAUUAUGUAUAUGUGCAUUGUCUCCCACAACUUUCUUCACCAUUCCACCAAUGUAUCCUGAAAUGAGAGGAAUAGAGUUAAUGAUUUGGAUCCACAAGAAGAAAGUCUGAAGAAGGAUCCCAACCUGGAGGGAUGUUUGCCCAUUUCAUUCCACGGAUGCUACCUCACCUGCUGAGUUUGUUUUUGCCAAUGAUUUGGGUCCGUUAACUUUUAUUAGAACUGGAAAAAAAUAAAACAAUGAUGGGUCUGGAGGAAUUGUAAAUGGAAAUAAGAGAUUAGUUAUCCUCGUGAUUGUUCUUCCUCAAUCUUGUAUGAUAUAUUGGAACUUUGCAGCUGGAUAAAAAGGGAGUUAAAUGGGGAAUUAAAGUGAGAGGCAGCUAAUAAUUUGGGAUAAUAUUUGUGGACUGGGUAGAUGUGUUCUGCAAGGUGGUUGCCAUUUUUUAGAGUUCCAACCAAACGGAGCGUGCAUAAUGAAGAGCGAACAAAUAAACUGGAUUGAAAGU